GAUUGAUUCAUUGUUACAGAUAGAAGAUGCUCUGGGAAAUACUUGGCAAUGGAUAUAUUUCAUUUCGAUGGUUAUCUUGGGUGCCUUUUUUGUGAUGAAUCUAAUUCUUGGUGUUCUAAGCGGAGAAUUUUCCAAAGAAAGAGAGAAGGCAAAAGCGAGGGGUGAUUUCCACAAAUUAAGAGAAAAGCAGCAAAUUGAAGAAGACCUUCGAGGCUACCUUGAUUGGAUCACACAAGCUGAAGAUAUCGAGCCGGAAGGAGAAGAUCAUAUGCUCAAUCAGGAUGGAAAACAAAAGAAUGGCGAAACAGAAUCAGCUGAUAGGCUGGAAGGUGAUGAAACCGAGAUGCAGGAACCGUGGUGGAGAAAAAAGAAGAAAGACUUCGAUAGAGUAAAUAGGAGAUUAAGAAGAGGAUGUAGGAAAGCUGUCAAAUCGCAAGCUUUCUAUUGGCUUAUCAUAUUAUUAGUAUUUUUAAAUACAGGCGUUUUAGCAACUGAACACUAUCAGCAGCCUGAAUGGUUGGAUCAAUUCCAAGAACAUACAAAUAUGUUCUUCGUCGCUCUAUUUACUAUGGAAAUGUUAUUAAAAAUGUAUAGCUUGGGAUUUCAGGGCUAUUUCGUCUCCCUUUUCAAUCGAUUCGACUGUUUCGUCGUUAUUGGAAGUAUUGGUGAAAUGUUUUUAACAAGAACUGAUAUUAUGCCACCUCUAGGUGUUUCUGUACUCCGAUGUGUACGACUCUUGAGAGUAUUCAAAGUUACCAAGUAUUGGCGAUCUCUGUCCAAUUUAGUAGCUUCAUUACUGAAUUCAAUUCAAUCGAUUGCUUCCUUAUUACUGUUGCUGUUUCUUUUCAUUGUUAUAUUUGCUCUGCUGGGAAUGCAAGUGUUUGGGGGAAAGUUCAAUUUUGAGCCAACGCAAAAUAAGCCACGCAGCAAUUUCGAUACUUUUUGGCAAAGUCUUCUUACAGUCUUCCAGAUUUUGACUGGCGAGGAUUGGAAUGUGGUUAUGUAUGAUGGAAUCCGAGCUUAUGGUGGAGUUGCUUCAGUCGGAAUAUUGGCAUGCAUAUAUUUCAUCAUUUUAUUUAUCUGUGGUAAUUAUAUUCUACUAAAUGUGUUUUUGGCUAUUGCUGUUGACAACUUGGCUGACGCUGAAUCAUUAACUGCCAUUGAAAAAGAGGAGGAAAAUGAGGAGACAGAAAAGCAAAAAUCACACGCCUCUUCUCCAGCUCGAAUCGAUGAUGUCGAUCAGGAUUUUAGUGGCGAAGAGCUAGCAAUGACUGACGAAGAAGAAAACGUUGAAGAGGAGGAGAUACAAGAAGAGGAGGAGGUAGAAGGGGAGGAAGAAGAAAUGUGUGAAAAAAAUGAAGAUGCUGUGAGCCAGUCAAAAGUCAAUUUAGAUGUAGAUGAAAACGAACUUUUCACAUAUGAAAGACAACAAGACAAUCAAGUAGGUCUAAAUGCAUCAGUAGUUGGAGAGGACUUCCCUGUCGUAAGAAACAGAACAUCAGCCCUACCUCGACGAAAAUCUGAAGAUAACACAGCAAAUAAAAUGAAACCACUUCCUCCAGCUUCAUCAAUGUAUAUAUUUUCCAAUAAAAACAGGAUACGUGUGUUCUGCCACUGGCUUUGCAACCACAGUCACUUUGGCAAUGUGAUAUUAGUUUGCAUUAUGGUGUCAUCGGCACUCUUAGCCGCAGAGGAUCCCAUCAACUCAGAUUCUCCACGCAAUAAGGUUCUACAGUACUUUGACUAUUUCUUUACGUCAGUAUUCACUAUAGAAAUAUGCUUGAAGUUGAUCUCCUAUGGUUUUAUACUGCAUGAUGGAGCAUUCUGUCGUUCUGCCUUCAAUCUUCUUGAUCUACUAGUAGUUUGUGUAUCAUUGAUCUCAAUUUUCUUCCAGUCAGGAGCUAUAAAUGUUGUCAAAAUUCUUCGGGUUUGUAGGGUACUCAGACCCCUUAGAGCCAUCAAUAGAGCCAAAGGACUGAAGCGUGUAGUGCAGUGUGUGAUAGUGGCAGUUAAAACUAUCGGCAACAUUGUCCUGGUUACGUGUCUUCUAGAGUUCAUGUUUGCCGUAGUUGGAGUACAAUUGUUCAAGUACGUAGUGAAAUGCGUGAUAGUUGCGAUAAAGACCAUCGGGAAUAUCAUGCUGGUAACAUACCUACUCCAAUUCAUGUUUGCUGUCAUAGGAGUUCAACUUUUUAAGGGGAAGUUUUAUGGAUGCAAUGAUAAAGCAAAGAUCACAGAGGAUGAAUGUCAAGGUACAUUUAUUGUGUUUGAAGAUGGUGAUGUGAAUAAAGCAAGUGUCGAGGAAAGAAAAUGGGAUAGGAAUAAAUUUCAUUUUGAUGAUGUUGCGGAAGCAAUGCUCACACUUUUCACUGUUUCCACUUUUGAAGGAUGGCCUGGAUUACUUUACACAUCUAUUGAUUCAAAUGGGGAAAACAUUGGACCUAUCCAUAACUUCAGACCUAUAGUGGCUGCCUUCUACAUAAUAUACAUCAUUAUUAUAGCAUUCUUCAUGGUCAAUAUAUUUGUAGGUUUCGUCAUUGUUACAUUUCAGAAUGAGGGAGAGCAAGAGUAUAAAAAUUGUGAGCUUGAUAAAAAUCAGCGGAACUGCAUAGAAUUUGCUCUGAAAGCAAAGCCAGUGAGAAGGUACAUUCCGAAACAUAGAUUUCAGUACAAAGUAUGGUGGUUUGUCACAUCUCAACCAUUCGAAUACACUAUUUUCAUUCUUAUCAUGGUGAACACAAUUACGUUGGCAAUGAAGUUUCACAAGCAGCCCCCAGGCUAUACAAAAGUGUUGGAUGUGCUCAACGUAUUCUUCAGUAUUGUUUUUGCCUUCGAGUUUGUGUUUAAACUUGCAGCAUUCCGAUUUAAGAACUAUUUCGGAGAUGCUUGGAACGUUUUCGAUUUUGUGAUAGUUUUGGGAAGUUUCAUUGACAUCGUGUAUGGGGAUUUGAAUCCUGGAUCGAAUUUGAUUUCCAUCAAUUUCUUCCGUCUAUUCCGUGUCAUGAGACUUGUGAAACUUCUCAGUCGUGGAGAAGGUAUCAGAACGCUGCUCUGGACAUUCAUCAAAUCAUUCCAAGCGUUGCCCUACGUUGCUUUGCUGAUUGUCAUGCUUUUCUUCAUCUACGCUGUUGUUGGAAUGCAGGUGUUUGGCAAAAUUGCAUUGAAUGAUGAGACUGCUAUCCACAGGAACAACAACUUCCAAUCAUUUGCUCAAGCAGUUCUAGUUCUUUUUCGAUCUGCUACUGGCGAAGCGUGGCAAGACAUAAUGCUUGAUUGCUCUGCUAGACCAGAAGUGAAGUGUGACAUGAGGUCUGAUGAGGCUGGAAACGUGAUGGGAUGCGGAUCAAACAUUGCAUUCCCUUACUUCAUUUCCUUCUACGUUCUUUGCUCAUUUUUGAUAAUAAAUCUAUUCGUAGCUGUUAUAAUGGAUAACUUUGAUUAUCUGACUAGAGACUGGUCUAUUCUGGGCCCACAUCAUUUGGAUGAGUUCAUAAGACUUUGGAGCGAAUAUGACCCGGAUGCAAAAGGAAGAAUCAAGCAUUUGGAUGUAGUCACAUUGCUAAGGAAGAUAUCUCCUCCUUUGGGCUUUGGAAAACUUUGUCCUCACCGUGUUGCUUGUAAAAGACUUGUAUCAAUGAAUAUGCCAUUGAAUAGCGAUGGGACUGUUCUGUUCAAUGCAACUCUUUUCGCUGUUGUACGCACUUCACUCAGAAUAAAAACCGAAGGAAAUAUCGAUGAUGCCAACGCUGAACUAAGAGCAGUGAUAAAAAAGAUUUGGAAGAGAACCAGUCCAAAACUCCUGGAUCAAGUUGUUCCCCCACCUGGAAUUGAUGAUGAAGUGACAGUUGGGAAAUUCUACGCCACUUUCCUAAUUCAAGAUUACUUCCGUCGAUUUAAAAAGCGAAAAGAACAGGAGAUGAAGGACGGUGAUAAAGAAUCGGCGAACACUGUCACACUGCAGGCCGGGCUUCGAACCCUGCACGAUGCAGGUCCAGAGCUGAAGAGAGCCAUCUCCGGAAACUUAGAAGAACUGCUUGAUGACAACCCGGAACCCAUGCACAGACGGAACCACUCUCUAUUUGGCAGUGUGUGGAGUUCAAUGAAACGGGGGAGGGGUCAUCGACAGGGGGGUGGAGGUGCAGUUGCAUUUCACAGAGCUCGUUCACUAAAGGUCAACCCAACACAAAUCCAAGUAAGUGCAAAAAUGAAUCAUUUGGAUGUUCCUGGACGAAACCUUAGAAAGGUGUCUCCGACCAAUUCAAUCGAUUUUUUACCUUACAACAGCAUAAGCCUACAAAGACCCCGAAAUGAGGAAAUGAAUCACAUCACAGCGCUUAUGAGAAGUGCUCUGUCACCUCCCAUUCAAAGUGCCAUUUCAAUGCAAGAGGUUACGGUAAAACCAAUGGAAGAAGAGUUAAUGAUACCGAUGCAAACUCUUUAUACUUAUAAUGGCGAUUCAGAAAGACAGUUGAAGCCCUAUCCUCGAGUAAUAGAGAGGCUCCCACAUAGAAGAGUCAAAUGGAAGCUUGACAGCUGAACGACUAAGUCAUUCCCUUCCUGGCAGUCCUGCUGACAGGAGACCUAAUUUCCCUGAAGUCAUAGGAUCAGCGGAGAGUCUAGUAGGACGAGUGUUAGUCGAACAAGGCCUGGGAAAGUUUUGUGAUGCUGACUUUGUGCGAAACACAUCACGGGAGAUGCAGGAAGCCAUGGACAUGACCCAGGAAGAGAUGGAUAGAGCUGCCCACAGGCUGCUAGUUCAAGAACGUAAAGGUAGACCUCUCUCGUUCCAAGGUUCUCUGGAGAAAACUCACUUAUAGCACAGCACACUGCCACUUGGUGAAAUAUUGCCUCUACAUUCAAAGUGCCUCGAUCAAAUCUGGUCCAAAUCCAAAUCAGCAGCUCGAGUUUUUUACUGCUUCCCUUUCCAUUUACCUCUCCAACUGCUGUCAUAGGCUAGCGUAUAUGUUCGAAGGAUUGUUAUUGUUUGUGAUUAUAAGAACCAACUAUUACUUCUUGUUUUAAUCGGGUACUUCUUCAAGUAUCAAAAUGUGGGAUCAUUAUAAAUAUUAUAUUGCUGUUGACUAUAUUAUUGUUGUUCUUAAUGUAUUGUUGAAAAUGAAUAAUAAUAUUAUAAUAAUACUAAUAAAUAUAGCCUUCAUUUAUAAUUCGAAUAUCAAGGAAUUAAGUAUAUAUCUCAAUGAUCUUCUCAAUGUGUCACAUGUGAUUAACAACUUUGACAACUAUUUCAUAUUGUAGUUUUUGUCUUUCAUAGAUAUAUAAGAGUAUUAUAAAACUCUGUUCACGUUCACAGCCUAAAAUAUCUGAAUUCCGAUAUUAAGUGAGAUUUGAAAGAAAUAUUUGGCUGGAGCGUCAGGCUGAAAUGAAACAAUUAACAUACUUGAUUAUUCUCCCAUCAUGUUUCAUGAAGUAAUAUUUAUUUCAGGCCUAUUAAAAUUUAUAGUUCUGAGAGCGCAAAAAAAUUAUUCAUCAAACUUCAGGCCUAAUCAGUCAGACAAAAAACUGAUGAAAUCUAUCUCGAACAAAAUUAAAAAUCACUAAAAUACAAAAUGAAAUACAUUUGAAAAAAAUGAUAAUAAAACCUUCAACUUC
rnacentral:misc_RNA from 1 species